AAACAUGUAAAGCUGGUUUCUUCCCCCUUUCUUAUUUGCAUGUUAGGUAAGAAACAAAAUGACGAUAGGUCCCAUGUUUAAAGCAGCAUCUCUUGCCAACUCCUUCACAAUCAAACAAGAGAAAUUUGGCAUCUGUUGCCAAUAAUUCUCUCAUCUCUCUCUUUCACUGAAUAGUCUAACAAGGGAGUCAAAAUCGUCGGCAAGAUAGUGUUUCUAUUUUUGGAAGAAAAGGACCAAACUUUUCUACCCUCCCUACCUAGUUUUCAGAAAGUUAUCAUUACAAAUAACAUAAACUCGUUGCUUAUCACAAAUAAGAAAGCUUGAAAGAUGUCUCACUUAAUAUCAGUGCUAGUUUUGUUGCUAGCAGUUAUCACUCUUACAACUGUAGCAGGAAAUAUUAAUCCCAAGUAUGAGUCUGCACGAUCCAAUGGAUUCAUCAGUUACGAGCCCCCACAAACUGAUACACAAAAACUGGUUGCUCUCAAUCACAGGCGACGUAGACAUUUAGCACAUUUUCCUCCCAGAAUUAGCGUCCCACCAAUUAACAUCCCAGGAAGACCACACCCACGGCCUCUUGGACUUCCGAUACGCCCACCUCCAAAAAUGUAAGAAUUAAGAACUCACUAUUUGAGGAGGGCUAAGUUGGUCCAAUAAACUAUUCCCUCCGGUUAUAAUUUAUAAGAAAAAAAUUGUUUUUGAGAUUCAUUAAAUUCUUAAUAUAUAUAUUAUAUGUUAAACACAUUAAAUAUUCAACGAAUUCAAAAAAUAGUUUUUUUUUCUUAUAAAUAUGACCCAUUUUUCAUAGUAUAUUUUAUAUCUUAGUUGUAAUUUUGAUUUAUAUGUUUCUAGUAUCUUUUAGGGUGCUUAAGAUUUUACCAUAUGGAUAAUAAUGAUUUAUUCAUAAUAUUAUUUGAGAAGUAUAUUGUUCAUUAAGGAAAAGAACAUUGGGCUUUGCCCUCUUUUGUACCAAAAAAAAAAAAAAAGAACAAAAAUGAAUGAGGAAAUGCCGUUAAUUGUAUUUGAUAGUUUUUCUAAUGUUUUUUGUUGACAAAGUUUUGCUAAUGUUUAUUUUCUUAGCUUAGCAUCUUUAAUUUUCAUAGUUCCAUAUAUUUAGUUUAUUUGGAGCCUAUCAACGAUAUUCCGGUUCGAAUCUUGAUGAUAAUGUCUAACCUAAUAAUAUUUGAUAUUUAUCGGUUUAGAUAUAUCUUGCAAACAAAACACAGCCGAUUAUAUCAUACUUAUAUUUAUAAAAUAACAAAUUUUAUACCAGUCAAUCACGUUGAGACUACCCUUAUUUACACACAUUUAUCUUAUUGUCAUGUUGGAAAAUUGAUGUAAUGUUCGAAGAAAAAUUGGAAGAUUAAACACCAAAUAUUAUACUUUAAUCUAAUGUUGUGUACAUGGAAAAAAUAGAGUGUGGAGGUCCCACAUAAAAUAGAACACACACAUUAGUAGUGUUUAAAUUGCGGUAUUUAAUUUUAAAUAUUUGAUAAUGAUAAAAAUAAUAGUAAUUAUUAUUUUUAUUCAAGUACUAUUAAGAUCAUAGUUCCUUUUUGGAAUAAUAAUGUCCCGUCGAAAUUGGAAUAAUAAUGUCCCGUCGAAAUUAAGAAUGAUCUUAAAUGUAUAUAAACAUUCUUUCAAUAUUUUUCUAAUUGAGGAGAAAUUAAAAGUGGAAAUGGUGGUAUCACCAUAUUUGAGUGGUCGUAGUGUCAUAUUGAUAUUUUGGAGAAUUAAAGUUAGAAUGGUGGUAACACCAUAUUUGAGUGGUCUCAGCACCAUAAGAGAGUGGUAACAAUACCAUAUUAAAGUGGUUUCAGUGGUCUUACUACCGUAUUGAAGGUGUAAUUCUCGAACGGUUUUUUACAGUGCAAUAGUUAAUCGAACAGUUCUAACUGGGCUUAUUUUAUCCUGCAGACGGCGUGGUUGAUAGUUUGCCUUGCACAAUUUUGGACAGUGCCACGAAACGUCUUAUAGAGAGCGACAUUGUCGUGACUCAACCUAGUAACAACUUCGGUAGAUAAUAUAAUUUAUAAAUCCAAAUACAACAGUUUGGAAAUCCAAAAACAAUUUUCAUGCAAAUUUACUAUUAGCAAUGUACUGGUUUAUGUCAAACCAGUGUCAAUUGAAUUACUCCAAUUUAGCCAAACUCCAAUAUAUAUUUUCAUUUACUUUAUACAUUUACCGGUACUGAUUUGUUGUUAAUUAGAAAUUUUUAAUGACUUAAUAGAUUUAAAAUCUCUGUGAGCAACAAAUUACAAGCAUUGUUUUAAAUAUAUAAAUCUUUCAAAUGAUACAUCUAUGCCACUAUUUCUUUAAAUUAGAGUUUGUAUUUUGUACACCUGCUGUUGUUUUGUGAAUUUCUAUUUGUUCUCAUGCCUUCCAG
rnacentral:lncRNA from 1 species